CCUACGGGUGGCAGCAGUGGGGAAUAUUGGACAAUGGGGGCAACCCUGAUCCAGCCAUGCCGCGUGUGUGAAGAAGGCCCUCGGGUUGUAAAGCACUUUCAGUGAGGAAGAACUCCUGGUGGUUAAUACCCAUCAGGAAAGACAUCACUCACAGAAGAAGCACCGGCUAACUCCGUGCCAGCAGCCGCGGUAAUACGGAGGGUGCGAGCGUUAAUCGGAAUUACUGGGCGUAAAGCGCGCGUAGGUGGCUUGAUAAGCCGGUUGUGAAAGCUCCGGGCUCAACCUGGGAACGGCAUCCGGAACUGUCAAGCUAGAGUGCAGGAGAGGAAGGUAGAAUUCCCGGUGUAGCGGUGAAAUGCGUAGAGAUCGGGAGGAAUACCAGUGGCGAAGGCGGCCUUCUGGACUGACACUGACACUGAGGUGCGAAAGCGUGGGUAGCAAACAGGAUUAGAUACCCUUGUAGUC
rnacentral:rRNA from 1 species